rnacentral:lncRNA from 1 species
AUCACAUGGCCCUUGCCCUUUAGGAGCAUAUAAACUUGUAUAAUUACCUUGUAAUCAAAGCAGUAGAGUGGGUGGAUGAAGAGACCUAUCUGUUAAAACCCACCAGAGCAGGGAGCCUCUCCAGGGUUGGUGCCAACUACCAAGGCCAAGUGGGUUUUACACCCCUCCCUCCUCUUCUAGGCUUCUGAAACUAACAAUAUUGUGACUCAGCCAAAGCAAUCAGAACCAAGCCUUAACAGUUUGAUCAAUAAAACAGAAAUCACAGGACCAACUGGGCCAGCUCAAUUUCUUCUUUCUCCUCUUCCAGACAUUGAAAGGUCUCUAUUCUGCCUCGCAUUCAGGAGAUACCGCAAGGUGAGUCCUUCGGUAGAAUUUCUUCCUCAUAAACACGAGAGGAAGGUAAAAUGUGCUAGUAUGGCCUGCAUUCCAUUAAAAUGUGGGUUUUGCAGUUUCAACUAAAACAAACAAAACAGCGGAGAUUUUUCCAUUGUUCUGAAGCAGCAGAGCAUUGACGAGGAAACGCCCCUGGCUUCCACUAGGGGGCGAUUUUAACGCAGCCGAGAACCGGGAGCCAGGAGGGGGCUGUGGAAGAGAACAAGCAACAGCCGAGCUGGUGUGGUCUGCUACCAG